GAGGAAAGACACCAAAAAAACACUGUUACACAAACCAAGCUCUCACACGCACACAAAGAAAAUGGCAGAGGAGACCGCCCCGGAACCCGGAUCCGGAUCCGGAAGCUUCUCCUCCGCCGUCAACGGUGGCAAGUCCAUAGAGGAAUGCCAAGACAUGAUCCGGCGGAGUCUCCGAAGUCCAAUGGUGAAGUUUCUGAUGGAGCAUUUGGAGAAGGCGGGGUGCGUGGUUGGGGACAACUUCAUCAAGGCCGUCCAUUGCGACAAGCUGAUUAGCGGCGGUUACGUUCGCGGUGAAGGGAUUAUGGUGUGUAGUAAUCACAUGAGCAUUCAAGAUGAGGUCAACCAAGUGGUGAUACAUGAGCUAAUUCAUGCUUAUGAUGACUGUCGUGCUGCAAACCUGGACUGGGCUAAUUGUGCUCACCAUGCUUGUAGUGAGAUUCGGGCUGGUCAUCUGAGUGGUGAUUGCCACUACAAGCGGGAAUUGCUGCGGGGUUUUAUGAAUAUACGAGGCCAUGAACAAGAGUGCGUGAGAAGAAGAGUCAUGAAAUCAGUGAUUGCUAACCCUUACUGCUCAGAAGCAGCUGCAAAGGAUGCCAUGGAAGCUGUCUGGGAUGUUUGUUACAAUGAUACACAGCCCUUUGACAGAGCUCCCUGAAACAUGAUGAUCACUACUUGCCAAAUGCUAAACCAGCUGUCCCCUUCCAUUUUUCUUGUAGGAAGGGUAUUGUUGCAGCACUGGCUUCGAAGAGACUUGCAGGUGUGGAGAGGUUACAGGAUCUUCAGCAGCAAAUGGGAGUGAAACAAGUAAAUGUGCCAGCGCCAGUGCCUCAGUGGUGGUCGGAGGAUUAUUCUCUACCUCACAGGCGGCGGCCUGUGCACAAUAAGCUGGACCCUUGAGUGAGGCUUCCCUCUCGUUUCCUCUGCUGAGCUAUCUGUUUGUACUUGUAGUGACUAGUUAUUUAGCUGUUAGUGUUUUACAUCUUUUUGUACUGGCUUCUGUUGGCACAACUAUGAGUAAGGCAAUGGAUGAAAAUUCCACAUAAUUGCAACAGCUUCAAAUAGUCUCAGUUCUGUGCAACUGAACACAUUCAAGAAAGUUCAUAAAAAGAUCAUUCUAGUUUUCAGCAAACCGGAGAGCUUGUACAUGAAAUCUUUUGUUUGCUGAAAUCUGUGCUGCUUGAUUGCCAACCUCCAGAACAUGACCCAGGAAGAUUGAAGCGGCCAAGCUCUAGAAGGGUCCAGUUUCAAUAUGCAACCACUCCAUCUUAGUCUUCAAAUCUUGCAUCAUUCAAAUUGACUAAGCUAGAGGCUAGAGGCCGGCAGUCUCUCUUACUAUUAUAUUCUUUAUUACAUAGCCCACUCACUAAUUUGACUGAAAAUGGCCGAAAGAAGAGAAAUGUACUACUUUAUGCUUCUUUUGGGGCAACAUUAUGGGAUUUGCUUGAUUAAACAAAGCAAUGGGAAUGAAA